GUCGCGUACUAGACAAUGACGAAAGAGAGAGAGAGAGAGAGAGAGAGAGAGAGGAUGGUGGUGGUAUCUCUCACAAAUGCUUCAGGUUUAAUCCGAUUGGCUCAUCCGUCACACCGGAGGAUUCAAAGGUUCGGACCUAGCAGCUCCAAGUUUACUCUGGAUUCGAGUCUCAAUGGGAGAGUUAGCUAUAAGCCUAUUGUGGGUGGGUAUCCCACAGUGUCCGUAUGUUUCGCACGCCAAAGUACGAACUUACAUGAUGAGCCAGAGCCCCCUUUAUGGUUGAGCCUUGUUAGGGACAUUGUAGGGAGCACGGGAUCGCUCUUCUCCUUUAUGGCUGAACAGCCGAGCCAGCUGAAAUUUAUAGAGUGGCCUAGUUUUACUACCACGCUCAAGACUGCCACACUGAGUCUCUUUCUUGUAGCUGUCUUCAUUGUUGCGCUAUCGUCCGUGGACUCUGCUCUUUGUUACGUAUUGGCUCUCAUCUUGAGGAAAUCCCUAUGAGUAGAGAGAGUGAGGAAGGCAAAGUCCAUUUUCAUUUCUAACCUGCAGCAAAGGUUAAUGCUGUUGUUGUUGUAAUAGGUUUCAGCUUACCAAGAAACGAGUCAAUAUGUUUAGUAAAAUUAAAUAUAUCCCACCAAAUGGAGACUGAUAAUCUGACUGAGACCAUAAUAAGGCAUCACCGAAAAGUAAACGGUCCUAUCUAUAUAAGAAUGAGAUUUGGCAACCA